rnacentral:rRNA from 1 species
CACGACCUAGGGGGGCAGCAGUAGGGAAUCUUCCACAAUGGGCGAAAGCCUGAUGGAGCAACGCCGCGUGGGUGAAGAAGGUCUUCGGAUCGUAAAACCCUGUUGUUAGAGAAGAAAGUGCGUGAGAGUAACUGUUCACGUUUCGACGGUAUCUAACCAGAAAGCCACGGCUAACUACGUGCCAGCAGCCGCGGUAAUACGUAGGUGGCAAGCGUUAUCCGGAUUUAUUGGGCGUAAAGGGAACGAAGGCGGCCUUUUAAGUAUGGUGUGAAAACCUUCGGCUUAACCGGAGUAGGGCAGUGGGA